UUUCCGCCCCGAAGUACAGCAUCGCGAUUAGCGCGCAGGUGGAGACGAUAAGCUCGACAAUAUAAAUGAGAACAUUUAGUCUGCGACGAGGCUCUAGCUUCAAAUAUGUCUUAGAAUAGCGCUGAAGUGAGAAUCGAACUGUUACAAAUAGCGAGACUAUUCCGAAAACCCAGAAGAAAGCUUGUGAAGGGAUGGAACGGAACAACACAGAUGUUCCAAGUCUGUGCUGAAAGUCGUAGGAUGUCGUCGCUCCUUGGCCGUCAA
rnacentral:ribozyme from 12 species